rnacentral:sRNA from 1 species
CUGAUUUUUGAUUUUUAUCAAUAAAUGCUUUUAAAUCAUCUAAUUGUGAUUUGUAUGUUUUCUCUGGUGCUGCUACAUAUCCAGCUUCUUCAGCUGCUUUACCUUUAUCUUCUAAGACGAAUUUGAUAAAUUCUGACAUUACUU